rnacentral:rRNA from 1 species
GACGAACGCUGGCGGCGUGCCUAAUACAUGCAAGUAGAACGCUGAAGGAGGAGCUUGCUUCUCUGGAUGAGUUGCGAACGGGUGAGUAACGCGUAGGUAACCUGCCUGGUAGCGGGGGAUAACUAUUGGAAACGAUAGCUAAUACCGCAUAAGAGUAGAUGUUGCAUGACAUUUGCUUAAAAGGUGCAAUUGCAUCACUACCAGAUGGACCUGCGUUGUAUUAGCUAGUUGGUGGGGUAACGGCUCACCAAGGCGACGAUACAUAGCCGACCUGAGAGGGUGAUCGGCCACACUGGGACUGAGACACGGCCCAGACUCCUACGGGAGGCAGCAGUAGGGAAUCUUCGACAAUGGACGGAAGUCUGACCGAGCAACGCCGCGUGAGUGAAGAAGGUUUUCGGAUCGUAAAGCUCUGUUGUAAGAGAAGAACGAGUGUGAGAGUGGAAAGUUCACGCUGUGACGGUAUCUUACCAGAAAGGGACGGCUAACUACGUGCCAGCAGCCGCGGUAAUACGUAGGUCCCGAGCGUUGUCCGGAUUUAUUGGGCGUAAAGCGAGCGCAGGCGGUUAGAUAAGUCUGAAGUUAAAGGCUGUGGCUUAACCAUAGUACGCUUUGGAAACUGUUUAACUUGAGUGCAAGAGGGGAGAGUGGAAUUCCAUGUGUAGCGGUGAAAUGCGUAGAUAUAUGGAGGAACACCGGUGGCGAAAGCGGCUCUCUGGCUUGUAACUGACGCUGAGGCUCGAAAGCGUGGGGAGCAAACAGGAUUAGAUACCCUGGUAGUCCACGCCGUAAACGAUGAGUGCUAGGUGUUAGACCCUUUCCGGGGUUUAGUGCCGCAGCUAACGCAUUAAGCACUCCGCCUGGGGAGUACGACCGCAAGGUUGAAACUCAAAGGAAUUGACGGGGGCCCGCACAAGCGGUGGAGCAUGUAGUUUAAUUCGAAGCAACGCGAAGAACCUUACCAGGUCUUGACAUCCCUCUGACCGCUCUAGAGAUAGAGCUUUCCUUCGGGACAGAGGUGACAGGUGGUGCAUGGUUGUCGUCAGCUCGUGUCGUGAGAUGUUGGGUUAAGUCCCGCAACGAGCGCAACCCCUAUUGUUAGUUGCCAUCAUUCAGUUGGGCACUCUAGCGAGACUGCCGGUAAUAAACCGGAGGAAGGUGGGGAUGACGUCAAAUCAUCAUGCCCCUUAUGACCUGGGCUACACACGUGCUACAAUGGCUGGUACAACGAGUCGCAAGCCGGUGACGGCAAGCUAAUCUCUUAAAGCCAGUCUCAGUUCGGAUUGUAGGCUGCAACUCGCCUACAUGAAGUCGGAAUCGCUAGUAAUCGCGGAUCAGCACGCCGCGGUGAAUACGUUCCCGGGCCU